rnacentral:rRNA from 1 species
GUGCCAGCAGCCGCGGUAAUACGUAGGGUGCGAGCGUUGUCCGGAAUUAUUGGGCGUAAAGAGCUCGUAGGCGGUCUGUCGCGUCGGUCGUGAAAACUUGGGGCUUAACCCUGAGCUUGCGGUCGAUACGGGCAUGACUUGAGUUCGGCAGGGGAGACUGGAAUUCCUGGUGUAGCGGUGAAAUGCGCAGAUAUCAGGAGGAACACCGGUGGCGAAGGCGGGUCUCUGGGCCGAUACUGACGCUGAGGAGCGAAAGCGUGGGGAGCGAACAGGAUUAGAUACCCUGGUAGUCC